GUACCGAUGCCUGAGUGGUCUAAAGGGGUGGAUUGCAAAUCCAUUGUUCGUCAGUUCGAAUCUGACUCGGUACUCCA
rnacentral:tRNA from 1 species